AGCUCGGGGGAGGGGAUGCGUCCGAGGAGGCCGAGGGGGCAGUACUCGGAACCCCUUCUGCAGAGUGGGUUGGGGUCUGCGAAGAGGCCUUCAGCACGCCACGCCCGAGCCAGCAAGCCCCUUCCUGGCAGCUCGGCCGGCAGAAAGUCUGCUGUUGGUGCCCGCCUGAUGAAGGAUUUGGACCAGAAGGAUCCUGCCCUUCCUGUGGGAUAAAACGGACCUGUGAGGAUGCCGCCGGGGGCUGCUCCCUGCACUGUGGGGGGGCCGUGUUUGUCCACCCAUCUCCUGAAUUAGCUGUGCCCCCAAAGUCCUGCUGUCCCCACAGGCUCCAUUUCCAGAGAUCUCUCCGGGGCAGACCCUGCCUGUCCAUCCUGCUGCUGUCCUAUUAGAAAUGUUGGAUGGGCAAGGCAAAGACUUGGAAGGAAGAAGUGUAUUAUACUCCGGGUCCCAGAGAGGGCGCUACGGUGUGCGCGGGGGCCACAGAGGAGCAUAGCCAGGGACCCCACAGAACAGGUGGGGAGCAGAGAGAGAAAGGACCUGUGGGCGGAGCCUUUCCCGGGGUCAAGGGUUAGGUUGUUCCAAAGCAAGCCGAGCAAGCAGGAAAAAGCAGGAAGCGAAGUCCUGGGCUGACCUGGUUACCGAGCUCCAGCUGCUUUCGAGUGUGAGCUCAGAUCACGACAGUGAGACAGGCGUUACACGCUGGAGCAAGAACUCACGACGGAGGAUAUGUUUUUCCUUUUGGUUCUAUUGAGGCAUAAUUGGACCUUCGGCACCGGGUAGGUUUAAGGUGUGCCGCAUGACGAUGAGACUUACACACGUCACGGAAUGAUGACCACAGCACAUCUGGUGACAUCCAUCAUCACACGUGGAUGAAAAACAGGAAUAGAAACAAAGUUUUUCCUUGUGAUGAGAACUCAGGAUUCACUCUCCUGACAAGUUUCAUAUAUAACCCGCAGCAGCGGUUCAUUCUAUUUACCAUGUUGUACAUUACAUCCCUAGUACUUCUUUAUCUUGUGACUGGAAGUUUGUACAUUUCGACCACCUCCAUCCAAUUCCCCCUCCCUUCACCCCGCCUCUGGUAACCAGAAACCUCUUCUCUUUUUCUAUGAAUUUGUGUUUGAAGUAUAAUUGACCUAUAACACUAGGUUAGUUCCCAUUAUACAAUGUAGUGAUUUGAUAUUGCCAUACAUUUCGAAAUGAUCACCAUAGUAAGUCUAGUUACCAUCUGUCACCAUUCAAAGGAAUUAUAUGAUUACUGACUCUAUUCCCCACAGUGUA